GUCAGCAAGAAUGUACUCCAUCCAUUUCAAAUUAUGGAUCAUUUUAAUUUUUUUAAUCCAUUAAUUUUGUUAUGCAUCUAGAUGUGCAUUAUGUUUAAAUACAUAGCAAACAAUACGUAUGAAGAACCAAAACAACUUGUAAUUUGGAACGGAGGAAGUAUGAGAUAAAGUUGAACCACUCUUGCCACAUGGUGCAAUGUUAUUAAGUAGGGAGAAUAAUAUGAAAACAGGGGAGGAGGACAAUAUACUUACUCUUGCCAGAUGGAGCUUGCUUAUGCCCGUAGUUAAAAGACCUCAUGGAGUUCAGCCGUUGUUGAUGCCGCACUUGAAAUGUAACUGAACACUCAAACUAACUUUCACGCCUCAGUUAGUUAGGAUCUCAUUCUCCCCCUCUCAUUUUUUGGCUUUUCUAGAUAAAUAGCUUUUGUUGUACAGAUAUAUACUAUUUCUAUAUAUUUUUUUGAGGAAGCAGGAGGGGCAAGCCCCUACUGAAAUAAAUUAACAAAAUAAAGGUUUACAUGAAAUAAAAGGAGACGAGAAAAGACAAAAAAGAAAACGAAAAACAGGAUAGAGAUAAAUUACAAGGCAUUUAGCCACUCCUUCAUAGCUAGGACUACAGAGGGUUUAGCUCUAUGGAGACAAACAGUAAGCAAUUCAGAGAACACCUUUCGUCUUACUGCUUGCAUCGAUGGAGGAAUAUUAUUGAAGUUCCAAUCAUUUCUGACGGACCAGAUGCUCCAAG
rnacentral:lncRNA from 1 species